UUAACGAAACUCUCAAAACAACGGCGCAAAGCCCAGUUUUCUCGCUAUUUUAUGACACAAUUGCCAAAACUGUUCCGUUAAUAAGACCGUAACACGAUAGACUUUCAAUGUGCCGACGGUCGGCGGUCCAGUUUAAGUUUACAAACGGUAUUGUUCGUACUUUAUUCGUUAAUUUUGAGCCGCUUUGCUAGCGUUUGUAGCCGGUUAUCGGGUUAGCGGAAACGGCUAAUGUUGCUGUAACUUCAUUCACAUUAAGACUGAGCCAGAGGGGACUCUUCAUGUGAACCUAUAUUCAAACAAAGAGGACGAUGCCUCGCUUGCAGUCCGGAGUUUGGAAGCACUACACCUCAGCUGUUAAAGAUGAUAAGGACACGAGUUGUGACACUCUGCAGGUUCGAGCCGGUCACACAAAGAGCCCAUUCAACGAGCGGGGCAGAAAUAUCCUUUCAACGCAGAUGCCAUCUCUCCAGCCAUGUGCGGGACACUCGAGAGAGACAUGGCAAUAAUACGCUUGGAAACUUCUUGGCAGCCAGACAUAGCUCAGGAGGACUGAGUGGCCCCAUUACCACAGAGGAAAAAUACAACAUGACAAAUGGCAGCAAGUUGGCUGUGCAUUAAGAUGAAGAGAGCAAACAACGCUUGCCAGCAGGGAAAUUAGCAGAGUAAGUAAGAAGAUAUAGCUCGGCUUACUGUGUCUCCUCUGAUGUAUGACACUGGGCAGUGUAGCCUAUCUAAAGCCAACAAAAAGGGUCUCCAUCAGCGUCAUCAUGAUUGAUGUCAAACAGUGGUCCAAGUAGCCGGGCUAAAUUAGUUAUUGCUAAUUAAAGCUGCAUUGCAGCCUCAUAGCCGCAGAAGAUCAGGUUCCAUUGUUUGAUAAUGUUAUGGAGCGCUGACAAACACCCAGGCAGUCUAACUGUGUGACUGACAGAGAAGCAUGUUUCUGUUUAUGACCAAUAUCUGAUUGUGUAACCCGGCACAUAUUGUAAAGGAAACAUGGUGAUAUCAGCCGUCAUCAGCUCAUAUCAGGUGUCAGCUCGCUGUUGUCCACAAUGUUAAACUUCACGUUAUCUGAUGUGGAUGGAGAAUAUACAUAAAGAGUAUUAGCUAAAGGCUGAGGAAUGUGAUGGGUGAGGGUCCUAUAGUUACUGGCUAAAGCUGGGAACAGACCUCAGGCCCCAUAUUUAAAUGAUCUAUAGCACAGUGCAUGACCCAAGUGCAUUUAGGGCGUGUCCUACCCCGCUUUUGCUCAUUAAACAACUCAUAAUCUGGGUGCAAAGUUUGUUAAUCAUAGGUGUAGUUUGGCUCUAAUGAGCAAUAAGAAUGUAAUCUCCCAUGGUAUGCACAUGGUUGGUUGCUAUUUAAAUGGCAAUUCCUGCAAAUCGGAGAACUUGGCCGUUUUCUGCUGAGGAAACAGAUCUGUGUGUGUGCAAAGUGAAAGCACGCAAGCAGACUAUCUUUACGGAAGCAGCAACCAAAGCUCCCUGAGGUGAAGCAGGUGUGGGAUGAGGUAGCGGUUACCGUGUCCUUUUCUUGAUGGUGAUGAUGACAUAAUGCAAAGAGAUGGGCACGACAAAACCUCACGGUUCACUAAAAACAGCCGAUGGGAGGAUGAUCACCAGUCCGUUCUCACUCCAAACUUCCAGUAUUUAAGCAGCCUAACUCCACUCACUCACUCUUUCCUGAUUGUCUUUGCUCCCAUGCCUGACCUCCCAGCACUCACUCUCGGACUGUUUUCCUGGUUUCGACAGAAAUAAAAUUCAUUACCAACUACUCAACUGCUCCUAGCACACCCUGUUACAUUAUUGGAGUUACCUUGGGGAAGCAACUGUAGAAGGUUAAUUCGAAUAUAGUUCAGCCCUGGUGUUUUUCCAGUGAAUGUUGCCCUUAUGAUUCUAUGGGUCAAGUUAACCUUUGUACUCUCCAUCUUCACUGCAGAGAUUCACAGAAAAGCAACGGCAGCAAAUUGACCCGAAUGUAAAUAUAUGCAGUUACCCAUAAUGACCAUUCCAGGAGGUUACUCUCUGUUUUGUUGCGGUUGGACUAAGACAAAAGUUUGGAAUGAUUCACGUACAUAUCAUGUUCAUUUGGAGAGCUGUAGGAUGGUUGUGCAGCUUGCCUCGAUAUAAUUUAUUUGGUUUGGGUUUUUUUCUAGAAUCUCUAUAUUUAAGUUUGCGGGGACAAAGUUAGCAUGAACCAUAGAGUCACAGUUGCCACAUUUCUGGGAAAUACGGUGUGCUGAAAUACACCAGAAUUCCUUUUACAGUCCCCCAACAUAUAAAAAAAAAUCUGUGGUUCAAAAGAUAGAAAUAUGCAUUGCAUUAUAGAAGUCCACAGAAACAGUUUGUCUGCUAAGUUAUGCUCCAAUUAUGGUGAAAAGAGCAAAGACAUUGGUAGAAUAAAACGCCUGAUUCUUAUGCUUCGUAAUGUGUUUAAAUGGUUAUAUAUCAUGUCAUAUGUGUCUCUUCUUUUCCUGCUUUGGUUAAUCCUGAGAUGUGAUCAUUACUGUUUUUA